GUUCCACUAGAGGAGGACAAGAAGGAGCUGAGGAAGGAGCAUGUGGGGCAGAGGCCCAGAUGGUUCACAAAGGACACAUAGUCUGAGUGAAGAGUAAUCCUUCCGAGUUUUAAGCUGCUGGGAUUGGGGGUGGGGAUUGGCGGGAGAGCUAGUGUGAAAUUGCCCAGCCUUGCCCUCCCCUGCCAGGUAAGGCUGAGUGAUGCCAUCAUUCCCAUGAUGCAAAUCUGUGCAUGAAGAUGUCAGAGGGUCUAGAAUACAGAAAAUCGGAAUGCAGCUCCAUAAGACAUUCCAAACUCCACACAUCACAACCAUUCUUUCUUCUUGGCUUAUAUGAGGGAUGGGGGAUGUAGCUUAUAACAAAGAAUGAGUAUCUGGUGGCUUCUCAUUCUUGGAACCAUUCUGCAGGUUUAUAACAAAGCUCACAAAAAUGCUAAAGCUUAAAGGAGAAUUACGAACUGCCAAGGGACUGAAAAAUGAGGCAUUGUUCUAGGAGCUGGAGGUUCGAAAAGCAAAUGCAAUAGAGAUCUCUGUUCUCCUGGAGCCUGCCCUCUAUCAGACUAGCCCCUCAGGACAUGAUGGCCCAAAGUAUGAAGGAAUGCCUGAAGUGCCAACAAAAAGCAACUCACAUUCCACAGGCCGGGGAGAGAGACAGAGAAGUAAACAACCUGAACAGCAAGCUCUUGAGCCUGCAGCUCGACAUCAAGAAUCUCCAUGACGUCUGCAAGAGACAGGGGAAGACCUUACAAGAGAACCAGCUGUGCGUGGAGGAGGCCAUGAUGAACAAGAGCCACGUAAGGCACUGGGCAGCGG